GAUGAACGCUAGCUACAGGCUUAACACAUGCAAGUCGAGGGGAAACGAUGAGAGAGCUUGCUCUCUUAGGCGUCGACCGGCGCACGGGUGAGUAACGCGUAUCCAACCUACCCAUUACAGGGGGAUAACCUUGCGAAAGUAAGACUAAUCCCCCAUGGCAUUUUAUGGUGGCAUCAUUAUAGGAUUAAAGAUUUAUUGGUAAUGGAUGGGGAUGCUUCUGAUUAGCUUGUUGGCGGGGUAACGGCCCACCAAGGCAACGAUCAGUAGGGGUUCUGCGAGGAAGGUCCCCCACGUUGGAACUGAGACACGGGGCAAACUCCUACGGGAGGCAGCAGUGGGGAAUAUUGGGCAAUGGGCGAGGGCUUGAACCAGCCAAGUAGCGUGCAGGAUGACGGCCCUAUGGGUUGUAAACUGCUUUUAUAGGGGAAUAAAGUGAGCUACGUGUAGUUUAUUGCAUGUACCCUAUGAAUAAGGACCGGCUAAUUCCGUG
rnacentral:rRNA from 1 species